GACGAACGCUGGCGGCGUGCUUAACACAUGCAAGUCGAACGGUGAAGGGACCAGCUUGCUGGUUCUGGAUGAGUGGCGAACGGGUGAGUAACACGUGAGUAACCUGCCCCCUUCUUCUGGAUAACCGCAUGAAAGUGUGGCUAAUACGGGAUAUUCUGGGUCUGUCGCAUGGCGGGCCCGGGAAAGAUAUUGCUUCGGUGGGGGAUGGGCUCGCGGCCUAUCAGCUUGUUGGUGGGGUGAUGGCCUACCAAGGCGGUGACGGGUAGCCGGCCUGAGAGGGUGGACGGUCACACGGGGACUGAGACACGGCCCAGACUCCUACGGGAGGCAGCAGUGGGGAAUAUUGCACAAUGGGCGCAAGCCUGAUGCAGCGACGCCGCGUGAGGGAUGGAGGCCUUCGGGUUGUAAACCUCUUUCGCCAGUGAAGCAGGCCUGCUCCUUGUGGGUGGGUUGACGGUAGCUGGAUAAGAAGCGCCGGCUAACUACGUG
rnacentral:rRNA from 1 species